AGCCUGCCCCGCGCCGGGGCGGAGCCACCGCCGCCAUCUUUAAGAGGUCGUCGUCGGCAGGAGGGCGCCAUCUUGGAGAGGUCGCAGGAGGCUGAGGCGCCGUCGCCAUCUUGGGAAGGUGGUAUUCUGAUGUCCUUAGCUGUGUGCUUUGCGUCAGCUUCUGUGUCUGCAGCUUCAGGAGUCAUUGCAACCUGGGCUGGGAAAACUUCCGCACCUUGCCUCUUUUUCCAAAGCUUCAGGUGUUCUUUCCAGUGAUGACAGUUAGAAAAAUAAGAGUGCUUUAAAUGAAAAUACCAGCAUGUCACAGUAAUGACUUUGGUUCAUCAAGGCCAGGAACUGAGGCUUGGGUGGCUGUGACCUCCAAAUCUUGAGCCUGCUUUGGGUAUAGCUCUUAAGGUGUAUUUUUCCAUCUUCUCUAUGAAGGAGCUGCUUUUUGCUGGUCUGUAGCCUCUCCUUGAGAACAAGGUUUGAUUACCCAAAUCAAAGAGUAUCUCUUGGAUAGAGGGUCUCUACCACGUAAAGGGCAGGGUGCAUCAGGGAGGAGGCAUGAGCCAGCAGAUGGUGGGCUAUGGGCAGGCAGGCUCAGGAAUAAUACAGAAGGCAGU